GACAAAUGUAGUACCUGGCCUUUGAAUUCCACUUUCUUUAAAACCCACCACGUUAGCUCGACAACACAACGCCGGACGCAGUGGCACGAUCUUCCUUCUGUUGCAGGUCAGGGGACAUACAUAGAACCAAAGAAGGGAAAAUAUGAUCUGCGAGUUCUUUGCGUUGACUUUUCUGUUUAAUGUCUUUUGCCCAUACCAUUGUAGGUUACCGAAUAGCACCACUGUUCUCUACAAUGGAGAGACAAUGAAUUCGUCGCAUCCUUGUGUGCGUUACACUUGCGACAAGGGAAGCCUAACGAUAAAGGAAUGCUGGAAGAAAGGUUACCCAGAAUGCCUGACAGCCGAAGCAGCAAAGAGCACAUUUCCUGUCUGUUGUGCUCUCCCGGUAUGUUCGUGACAAAACAUGUGAAAGACAGACCAGAACUUCCAAUUUCUGAAUUUUUUUUUCUGUAGCGCCACUCAUUUGUGACAAUGCUUCCGUCACUAGUUGAAAAUAACCAAAAGAAGAUGGCAUGACGUUCCUUUUUUUUUC